GCGCCCGUAGCUCAGCAGGAUAGAGCACAGGAUUCCUAAUCCUGGGGCCGGAGGUUCGAAUCCUCUCGGGCGCACCA
rnacentral:tRNA from 1 species